GACGAACGCUGGCGGCGUGCUUAACACAUGCAAGUCGAGCGGAGAGGCGAACGGGUGAGUAACGCGUGAGUAACUGCCCCCCUCUCUGGGAUAACAGUUGGAAACGGCUGCUAAUACCGGAUAGUGAGGGAUGACUCGCGUCCUAUCAGCUUGUUGGUGGGGUAGUGGCCUACCAAGGCGACGACGGGUAGCCGGCCUGCGAGGGCGACCGGCCACAAUGGGAGGAGAUACGGCCCAAGCACCUACGGGAGGCAGCAGUGGGGAAUAUUGCACAAUGGGGGAAACCCGGAUGCAGAAACGCCGUGUGCGGGAUGACGGCCUGAGGGUUGUAAACCGCUUUCAGCCAUGACGCGGUAGUGGCAGAAGAAGCACCGGCUAACUACGUGCCAGCAGCCGCGGUAAUUC
rnacentral:rRNA from 1 species